UGGGGAAUCUUGCGCAAUGGGCGAAAGCCUGACGCAGCGACGCCGCGUGGGUGAUGAAGGCCUUCGGGUUGUAAAGCCCUGUGGAGAGGGACGAAUAAGUUCGACCUAAUACGUCGGGCGAUGACGGUACCUCUUUAGCAAGCACCGGCUAACUCUGUGCCAGCAGCCGCGGUAAGACAGAGGGUGCAAACGUUGUUCGGAAUUACUGGGCGUAAAGCGCGUGUAGGCGGUCGUGCAAGUCGGGUGUGAAAGCCCAGGGCUCAACCCUGGAAGUGCAUUCGAUACUGCAUGGCUAGAGUCCCGGAGAGGAUGGUAGAACUCUCGGUGUAGAGGUGAAAUUCGUAGAUAUCGAGAAGAACACCGGUGGCGAAGGCGGCCAUCUGAACGGUGACUGACGCUGAGACGCGAAAGCGUGGGGAGCAAACA
rnacentral:rRNA from 1 species